AAAGGUCUACAUAUACAUUGUCCGCAAUAUGUAAAUAUGCUCCCACACACAUUCUGUAAAAAUGGUAGAGUAGAUGUCAGGAAGACAUCUCCAAUCUUAAAUAAUGUCUCUGUUCUCUCUCGUGUUAUUAUUCCCAUUGUUUUAUUUCUAUCCCCUGUGCUUGUGGUGUCUUUUGUGGCGUUUCAGCUGUGAUGAGAUGGGCGGGUGAGCGGCUUCCUCUAGAACUGACGCCAGCUGGUUUGGAGGACUGGCAGACCCUCAACUCUCCUAUCCACCAUGUUGGAGACUGACUUUAUUAUCUGCCACAGCUCCAUGCCAUGCACAGUCUCCAAUGGCCCAGAAUGCCGGCAUGUAACACAGCCCCAUUCACGGUCGCACUUAUUUUGAUUUAGUCAUAACUUUAGGAAUUGCCUUUUAACAACAACUACAGAAAAAAAGUGAGGGUCAUCUACUUCUAAUGCUGGAAACCCUGUGAUAAUCUGUUCCAUGCAUUCAAAUGAAAAUAUGACUUCUUGGCAGAGAAUAGCAUUAUAAUGUAAAAUCCCAUAUGCUGUUAUACAGUAUGUUGCAAUCUGUUUUACGGCUGCCUCUAUUCUAACGAGUGAAUACUGCCAAUAAAGCAAUUGAAGAUAACACUAAUUGCUUAUUUCUGUGAUCCAUAAUUUUUAUGGCUGCCUUAUAGCUCUUUAGUCAAAUAGAUGCUUUUUGGCCUUUAAGAUCUAGAACUCAUGUACUGCAGCAAUUGAAACUGGAAAUGCACAUGCUGGCCUGAGAGGCUUUUCUGUACUUGAUGGACAGAAUGCUACAGAAAAAUAAUGGAAAGAUACAAAAAUAUAUGGAAGUCUUACAUUGGCUCCAACAGAACACCUGCUGUAUUCUCCCAGCAAACACUGGGGCCAUGGCGUCUCUCCUCUAAUGACACCUCAUCAAUCCGCUCCUAUCAAUGUCCCAGCCAUGGAGGUGACUUCGAGUGCUCAGAAGCCUUAGAAAAUGUCAACGUUUUGGGAGAAAAGGAACCUUCACUAAACAGAAAGAGUAAAACUUAAGUUCCAAACACCUUGGCAUGUUCCAAGAUGGAAUGCAAAUAGCAAGACCUCUUUCUAACAUAGAAGACAUGGUCAAGUUUCUUGGGAGGCAAAUCAUUUCCAUAGAAUUAUUUGAAAUCUGAGCUGGCAUCUCUGGUAUUAACAUAAAUCACAGGCCAUCAAUAUGUAUUUAUGUAUUUAUCUGGUUUAUCAAAAACCACAAACAACAAUUAUAUGUCUGCUUUGUGCCUGGGACAGUGCUGAAGAUUAGGAGGGAUAUGUGAUCUACGAUUCAAGGGGUUAUGGAAAUUCCCAUAAGUGAUGUCCUGCUGUUUGAACAAGACAACUGAAAAGAAAAUCCACAGCCAAGAAAUACUACAAUUCAGCAGUAAAUACCCCAUAAUCAAUUAUAUUAGCAAACUAAAGUCAUAGUGUUUUGGGUAACUUUUGUUUCUCAUACAAAAGUUAAAUGUGCUGUUGUCUCCCUCUCUCUCUCUCUCUCUCUCUCGCUCUCGCUCUCUCGCUCUCUCGCUCUCUCUCGCUCUCGCUCUCGCUCUCUCUUUAACUGAGCAGCAGUGACAAUUUAUGGAUUCAGUAAUUUCUCACAUUCUGCUUGAAAAAUGUUUCUUUAUCCAAAGGUUAACUCCUUUCGGAGUACAGACCCCUAAAUUUUCUCAGUUGCUCUAUUAGUCGGUACAACUAGAUUCACUAGACUCAUAAAUCCAUCAAUUUUCUAGUCUAUAACAGUGUAAUCCCUGAAAUCUCAGAGAUAUAAAUGGAAUUGCUAAUUUUCAAUAAAUCUACAGAAACAGGUAAUAGUGUCAUGGGCCCCCAGUUCCAAUCAUUUUAGCUAUAAUAAAUGGUACCACAGGGACUUGCUUUAGGUCAUAAAAUUUACUGACCAGGACACAAAUUUUAACCCACAAAGUAUUUUAUAAGUUUUCUCCUUUUUUCCUACUUUAAAGUAUGAAUUCCAAGAAUGAUUUCCCACUUUAGACUGAUUAUAGAUAGAAAAGGUGAAAAUAAAAAACGAAGAAUUUUUUGAGAUUAGUAUUUUUUAUUGAGAAAAGACAACAUAAGUAACAGAGACAACAUAAGUAUUUCAAACAUAUACAAUAGUACAUAUGUUGGUUACUUAAAAUUUAAGUGCUUUGGAAAACAUGAAAUUGCUAUUUAUAUUCUCAUAUUUUACAAAUAAUACAUCAUACAACAGAAAUGUGUUUUUCUAAUGGAUGAUAAACAUGCUUCUGAAACAAAUUCUCUAAGUAUAAAUUAAAAUUUAAUUUUCUUAAAUAAUUGCAACCGAUUUCUAUAUUCUUUAAAAGCAGAAGUAUGUACUUUCACUGGGUGUUUUUAUUUUUCCUUUCUGAGAGUUUUACCAGUAUUUCUAAAAUACUUAUUUGCCCAAGAUAACUAUCAUUCAUCCAUACAUUAAAAUGAAUUACGAGUAUUGCUUUCAAUGUAUUGCAAAGGAUUUUUUCUGACUCUUCAAUUGAAUAUGGAAUGACCUCUGAAAUAAUAUGAUUGUAAUCACCUUUUAAACAAACUUAAGGAAUUGGUAAAAAGGAAACAAUCAAGAGUACCUUAAAUGUAACAUUUCAGU